rnacentral:ncRNA from 1 species
CCUCCUGAAUCAUCGGGCACCAUAAAGGAAACUUUAUGGGUGAAUGUGGUCAAAUUCAAGGGAGCCUAAGUCUGGUAACGGAUAAGGUAAUCUUGAGCCAAGCUCUACUUCCCCAGUAGAGAAGGUGCAGAGACUGGUUGUAGGAAACGAUGGGGAAAAACAAACUUAUAAGUAAACUUCCUACAACAUAACGGCCACCACCUACAGGCAAGAUGCCUACGGUGAAGGAAUAGUCCAGAGAGUGAGGAAACUCACAC